GACGAACGCUGGCGGCGUGCCUAAUACAUGCGAGUCGAGCGGACGGAUGGGAGCUUGCUCCCAGACCGUCAGCGGCGGACGGGUGAGUAACACGUGGGCAACCUGCCUGUAAGACUGGGAUAACUCCGGGAAACCGGGGCUAAUACCGGAUAACUCUUUCCCUCACAUGAGGGAAAGCUGAAAGAUGGCAUCUCGCUAUCACUUACAGAUGGGCCCGCGGCGCAUUAGCUAGUUGGUGAGGUAACGGCUCACCAAGGCGACGAUGCGUAGCCGACCUGAGAAGGUGAUCGGCCACACUGGGACUGAGACGCGGCCCAGACUCCUACGGGAGGCAGCAGUAGGGAAUCUUCCGCAAUGGACGAAAGUCUGACGGAGCAACGCCGCGUGAGUGAUGAAGGUUUUCGGAUCGUAAAACUCUGUUGUCAGGGAAGAACAAGUACCGGAGUAACUGCCGGUACCUUGACGGUACCUGACCAGAAAGCCACGGCUAACUACGUG
rnacentral:rRNA from 1 species